AGUGGUUUAAGAGAGCUUCCUUCAGUCCACUCAUGGAUGGGUUAGGGGUUUGGAUUAGCUGCCGACUCAUUCAUUCAAACACAGUAGAAUGGAAAUGGAGUUUACUACUGUGAAUGUGUGAAUGAUGCGGGAGGUAAAUUUCAUCCUUUUCUUGUCUGUGCUUGGACUGAAGGGAGCUCCCUUCUACUGUUUU
rfam:Vitis vinifera, whole genome shotgun sequence of line PN40024, chromosome 6, chr6